UCAUAUUUCAGCCACAUCCA
rnacentral:misc_RNA from 1 species